rnacentral:rRNA from 1 species
CCUACGGGAGGCAGCAGUGGGGAAUAUUGGGCAAUGGGCGCAAGCCUGACCCAGCAACGCCGCGUGAAGGAAGAAGGCUUUCGGGUUGUAAACUUCUUUUAUCAGGGACGAAGCAAGUGACGGUCCCUGAUGAAUAAGCGACGGCUAACUACGUGCCAGCAGCCGCGGUAAUACGGAGGUGGCAAGCGUUCACCGGAUUUACUGGGUGUAAAGGGCGUGUAGGCGGGAGUGUAAGUCAGAUGGUAAAACUAUGGGCUCAACCCAUGGCCUGCAUUUGAAACUGUACGUCUUGAGUGCUGGAGAGGCAAUCGGAAUGCCGGGUGUAGCGGUGAAAUGCGUAGAUAUACGGAGGAACACCAGUGGCGAAGGCGGAUUGCUGGACAGUAACUGACGCUGAGGCGCGAAAGCGUGGGGAGCAAACAGGAUUAGAUACCCUAGUAGUC